GACGAACGCUGGCGGCGUGCUUAACACAUGCAAGUCGAACGGAAAGGCCCUGCUUUUGUGGGGUGCUCGAGUGGCGAACGGGUGAGUAACACGUGAGUAACCUGCCCUUGACUUUGGGAUAACUUCAGGAAACUGGGGCUAAUACCGGAUAGGAGCUCCUGCUGCAUGGUGGGGGUUGGAAAGUUUCGGCGGUUGGGGAUGGACUCGCGGCUUAUCAGCUUGUUGGUGGGGUAGUGGCUUACCAAGGCUUUGACGGGUAGCCGGCCUGAGAGGGUGACCGGCCACAUGGGGAGUGAGAUCGGGCCGGGCCCCCUGGGGGGGGAAGGAGGGGGGAAGUUGGAAAAGGGGGCGGAAGCGUGAUGCAGCACCGCCGGGGGGGGGAGGGCGGCCUGGGGGUUGAAAACCGUUUCCGCCGGUGACGAAGCGUGAGUGAGGGUAAGGGGUAAAGAAGCCCCGGCUAACUACGGG
rnacentral:rRNA from 1 species